ensembl:snRNA U6 U6 spliceosomal RNA
GUGCUCACUUCAGCAGCACAUAUACUAAAAUUAGAAUGAUAGAGAAAUUAGCACGGCCCCUGCACAAGGAUGACAUGCAUAUUUGUGAAGCAUUCCAUAUUUUU